AGCGAACGCUGGCGGCAGGCUUAACACAUGCAAGUCGAGCGGGCAUCUUCGGAUGUCAGCGGCAGACGGGUGAGUAACACGUGGGAACGUACCCUUCGGUUCGGAACAACUCUGGGAAACUGGAGCUAAUACCGGAUACGCCCUUAUGGGGAAAGGUUUACUGCCGAAGGAUCGGCCCGCGUCUGAUUAGCUAGUUGGUGGGGUAACGGCCUACCAAGGCGACGAUCAGUAGCUGGUCUGAGAGGCUGAUCAGCCACACUGGGACUGAGACACGGCCCAGACUCCUACGGGAGGCAGCAGUGGGGAAUAUUGGACAAUGGGGGCAAGCCUGAUCCAGCCAUGCCGCGUGAGUGAUGAAGGCCUUAGGGUUGUAAAGCUCUUUUGUCCGGGACGAUAAUGACGGUACCGGAAGAAUAAGCCCCGGCUAACUUCGUG
rnacentral:rRNA from 1 species